rnacentral:ncRNA from 1 species
CUAUGAACCUUUACUGCAGGCUGAUAUUGGUAUUAGACAUGUUUUGUGUAGGAUAGGUGGGAGGCGAUGAUCUGGUGGCGCUAGCCAUCAGGGAGCCGACGUUGAAAUACCACCCUGAACCUGUUUGAUAUCUAACCCCGAUCCCGUAAACCGGGCGGUGGACAGUGUCAGUUGGGCAGUUUGACUGGGGCGGUCUCCUCCCAAAGUGUAACGGAGGAGCGCAAUGGUACCCUCAGCCUGGUUGGCAAUCAGGCGUAGAGCGUAAGGGUAGAAGGGUGCUUGACUGCGAGACUGAUAGGUCGAGCAGAAACGAAAGUUGGCCCUAGUGAUCCGGCGGUUCCGAAUGGAAGGGCCGUCGCUCAACAGAUAAAAGGUACUCUGGGGAUAACAGGCUGAUCCCUACCGAGCGUCCAUAGCGGCGUAGGGGUUUGGCACCUCGAUGUCGGCUCAUCGCAUCCUGGGGGUGGAGAAGCUCCCAAGGGUCUGGCUGUUCGCCAGUUAAAGCGGUACGUGAGCUGGGUUUAGACCGUCGUGAGACAGGUCGGUCCCUAUCUACUGUGGGCGCACGAUACUUGAGGGAGUUUCUCUUUAGUACGAGAGGAUUUGGAGGGACGUUCCUCUGGUGUUCCUGUUGUCUCACUCGAGGCACGGCAGGGUAGCCACGAACGGUUCGGAUAAGUGCUGAAAGCAUCUAAGCACGAAGCCAGUCCCAAGAUUAGGUAUCGUUAAGUCCCCUGGAAGACUACCAGGUUGAUAGGUUGGUUAUGUAAGGCGGGCAACCGUCUCAGUUGACCAAUACUAACGGACAAACGCUUGACCAU